AACGUUCUGUGUGUGUUCUGAACUGUUCCUUGAGAAUGAUGGGAUCGUGUUGGAGUUCUCAGAGGGAAGUCGAAGGUUUUUGUUUGUAUGGGUUCCAUUGAAGAACAUCACCAUGGUGAUUUCAAUGAGGUUAAUCUGGUAAGCAUUCAUUUCCUUCAGAAGCUUCUGAUAUAUGAUGUCUUUGGUGAACCUGAGACACUUCCUAGAGUUGAAGAUGAGUGCCAGGUUGAAAUUCCACCUCUAUCAGCUAUAUCUUACUUUAUAAACAACCUAACUAAUGCAAAAAAUCACUGGUGAUGGCCCCUAUAAUUUUCUAAUGGGGUUGCCUUACCAGUAAUGUGGAUCAAUCAGGAAGUUGAGAGCAAAGAGCGUGAGUCAGAGGCUUUUGAUGUUGUAGUUAAUGCAUCCAAUAAAGAGUCUAAAAAAUCUGAACAUGUCAGGAAAAACUCGGGUUGUCUAGAAAGUGACAACUUAAAACCCAAUUCUGAACCAAGAAUAGUAAGUCAGAUCAUGGGACAAUAUCAGAUGACUCGGCGAAGUUAGCUUGGAAACAAGAAAAGAUGACUGAAAUGCAUCCGAAGUGUAGUAGAAUAGUGUACUUUCUGGUUCGUUCCUGGAUACUUGGGUGACAACUGGAGUGACAUAGAAGAAGUUAGUUUUCUUCUUGGUUUUUAUGUAUCUUUGGGAAAAACCUCAUUCAGGUGAAGGUUGUUGGGAAUAAACAGAUGGGACAUGUAUUAUCAUUCCACUACGGAAAAUUUUACAGGUCUCACAGAAACAUCAGAUGGGCGAAAUGCCCGAAAUUGAGAAGUAGAAGAUGUAAAUUUGGACCAAGAAUAUUUACAGGAUUAAGGCAACAGGAGUUGUUAUCUCAUUUGCUCCCUCACAUGGCAGAAGAAUGUCAAAAUACUUUACUUGAGGAAAUAUAUCUUACUGAAACUUUUAUGCUACGAUUUACCUUUGCAGUGUGAAUUGAAUUAUAGGAACUUGUCUGCACAUUUGUAUUAUAUAAUCAUAUGCAAACCAACAAAAGUUUUCUAAACUAAUUAUUUACUUUAAAGAGUAUUACUCUACUUCAAAUUCUGUGUGAACUGUCUGCCACAUUUUUGUUUGAGUCCAAGAUUGUAGAACAGUAGAAAAUAUAAGUACGUUAUUAUUUCAUACAUAAAAAUAUUAGGCAGAUUAACAUCCCUUUAAUUCUGAACUUCUCUAAUGUUUUUUUUUUCAUAAGUUUCCUUGUACCAGUACUUUCCUAAGUUUUCUUUCCUUUUAUAAAGUUCUUGCUCUAAUGUGCGAAUUUAAUACUCUUAUGCUGGUCAACAUGAGUUAUGCUUUUGUUAGCAUUAGCAAGAGACGAGUUUCAUUGAUGUGAUGACUUCUUUGCGUAUGAAUUUUUCUCUAGUAAAACUUGAAGCUCUUUUCAUCUGAUUUGCAAUACAGGACUUUGGAUAUUGUUCUGUACGAAGAUUUAGUUUUAUGUAUAUUCAAGGAUGGAAAAAUAGCAAUAUAAGCGUGGGCAUUAGUUCAAUUUUAACUGAUAACUUUUGCUAUCGAUUCUUGCCUACUCAAAUUGAAUUUAUAGAUAUCUUUGGUUGCAUGUUUUGUACAUUUUAUGUAAAUCCUAGUAAAAAUCCUUGUCUGUAUUGUAUAAAAGAACCAUAUGAGAAAAUGUACUGAUGCAACACAGAACUUUCCAUUUUCGGAUGACGAAAGGGAGGUAAAUGCAAGUAUGUGGUGUUUGUGGAUCCAUCCUAUCUGCCAAUUGUGUCCAUCAGAUUUUUUAUGUUGGUAGAUGUGAUAGCUAAGAAAUUUAUGAUUGACAAAAUAGAAACAUAGAAAUUGGUUGCUCACGAUGAAGCCAUUUUAUGCCGUUAAUCAGAUAAUGGGCAGAAGAUGUGCCCUGGAUUUGAAUUUUUGGUGUUGUAAUUUUGUCAUUAUCUUUAUGUGCCCAAUAUUUAUGAAUUGGGUCAGGAUGGCAGUCAAGGACCUAAAAGUGGCGCAAUCCAAGUCCAAGAACCUGGAAGCUAAAGAGCUGCUGAAGAGAUCAUUCAGUCAGAGCUGCUUAUAUUCGCUUCUGGCUAAUAUGUCAUGUUCUGUGUUUUUUAGGCUUUGUUCACUUUCUUCCAAGCUCAUCAAGAGAGACCAUCAAGAUCCUGAAGGAAAAACAUGACCAAGGGGCAAAGAUGGAGUUGGAGGCCAGCCUUGUUUAUUAUUGAGCGUGACCAAGCUGAACAGGAUAGGCACAAGGCUACUGCAGCCAAGACGUAGCUCCGUCUCAUCCAAGGACAACCGGCCAAAACGCAAGGAUCUUGUUGAGGCGAAAGCCAAGUUCACCAGGUUCAGCUCGGAGCUGGAUCAUGCUCGGGGAUGGAGAGCAGGCAGCAGUUGAGAUGAGUAGAAGCAACUCAAAGUAGAGGCACAGAAGAGUGGGAGCACAUCCACGCAAUCUUGAACUCAAAGUAGAGGCCAAGAAGCGCGGCUACAUGAUGCAUGUAAUGCAUGGAUGCAUCAUGCAUGGAUCCAUGUUAUCGUUGUGUUAGUUUGUAAAUCAUAUUUUGUCGAUAUUUAGAAUAUCCUAAUAGUCAAUAAUGUAAAUAACUAAAUAAAAAAACACCUUAUUUUUUGCAAAAAUAAAAAACAUUUGAUCGUGUUAUUA